rnacentral:rRNA from 1 species
UGCCAGCAGCCGCGGUAAUACGAAGGUCCCAAGCGUUGUUCGGAAUCACUGGGUUUAAAGGUUCCGUAGGCGGAUUUUUAAGUCAGUGGUGAAAGCCGACAGCUCAACUGUCGAACUGCCAUUGAUACUGGAAAUCUUGAGUACAAAUGAAGUAGGCGGAAUGAGUCAUGUAGCGGUGAAAUGCAUAGAUAUGACUCAAAACACCGAUUGCGAAGGCAGCUUACUAACAUGUAACUGACGCUGAGGGACGAAAGCGUGGGGAGCGAACAGGAUUAGAUA